rnacentral:rRNA from 1 species
CCGGCACGGGUGAGUAACACGUAUCCAACCUGCCGUCUACUCUUGGACAGCCUUCUGAAAGGAAGAUUAAUACAAGAUGGCAUCAUGAGUUCACAUGUUCACAUGAUUAAAGGUAUUCCGGUAGACGAUGGGGAUGCGUUCCAUUAGAUAGUAGGCGGGGUAACGGCCCACCUAGUCUUCGAUGGAUAGGGGUUCUGAGAGGAAGGUCCCCCACACUGGUACUGAGACACGGACCAA